ACAGAGAUGCGGUCUGUCGCUCUAUGCGCAAGGCAUAUAGAGGAAAGUCCGGGCAACACAGAGCGCCGCAUUUUCUAACGGAAAGCCGGCGGCGACGUCGGGGUUCAAUGUGACAGAAAACGACCGCCCUCCUCCGCGGAGGAAGGUAAGGGUGAAAAGGUGGGGUAAGAGCCCACCGGCCGGCAUGGCGACAUGCCGGGCCGCACAACCUGCGGGUUGCAAGGUCAAAUACACCGGCAAUCAAGGGCUGCUCGCCCGCUGCCGGGGGGUAGACUGCUUUAGCGAGCCGUGCAAACGGCCGCAAAGAUAAAUGACAGACACUCCGACCAUGUCGGAGCACAUAACCCGGCUUACAACAUCUCUGCAUCG
rnacentral:RNase_P_RNA from 1 species